rnacentral:lncRNA from 1 species
AUGGCAUAAGAAAAAUAAAGUGUGAUAGGCAAAAGAAAACAAGAAAAAGAGAGAUAUCAGCUGAGAGGAGUGUGCUCCUGAAUCAACACGUGCCUUCAGAAUUCCAUCAUAACGCCCCUGCAAAAGACAAGCAAAUAUGACUUGAUCGAUUUAUGUUACUAAGAUUAAAUCAAAAUGAAAAAGAAAGAAAUUAAGAUGA